GUAAAGAGCUCGUAGGUGGUUUGUCGCGUUGUUCGUGAAAUCUCACGGCUUAACUGUGAGCGUGCGGGCGAUACGGGCAGACUUGAGUACUGCAGGGGAGACUGGAAUUCCUGGUGUAGCGGUGGAAUGCGCAGAUAUCAGGAGGAACACCGGUGGCGAAGGCGGGUCUCUGGGCAGUAACUGACGCUGAGGAGCGAAAGCGUGGGGAGCGAACAGGAUUAGAUACCCUGGUAGUCCACGCCGUAAACGGUGGGUACUAGGUGUGGGUUUCCUUCCUUGGGAUCCGUGCCGUAGCUAACGCAUUAAGUACCCCGCCUGGGGAGUACGGCCGCAAGGCUAAAACUCAAAGAAAUUGACGGGGGCCCGCACAAGCGGCGGAGCAUGUGGAUUAAUUCGAUGCAACGCGAAGAACCUUACCUGGGUUUGACAUGCACAGGACGCCGGCAGAGAUGUCGGUUCCCUUGUGGCCUGUGUGCAGGUGGUGCAUGGCUGUCGUCAGCUCGUGUCGUGAGAUGUUGGGUUAAGUCCCGCAACGAGCGCAACCCUUGUCUCAUGUUGCCAGCGGGUAAUGCCGGGGACUCGUGAGAGACUGCCGGGGUCAACUCGGAGGAAGGUGGGGAUGACGUCAAGUCAUCAUGCCCCUUAUGUCCAGGGCUUCACACAUGCUACAAUGGCCGGUACAAAGGGCUGCGAUGCCGCGAGGUUAAGCGAAUCCUUUUAAAGCCGGUCUCAGUUCGGAUCGGGGUCUGCAACUCGACCCCGUGAAGUCGGAGUCGCUAGU
rnacentral:rRNA from 1 species